rnacentral:lncRNA from 1 species
GUCCGAUUCAAACAAGCAUACGGUUGAGCUUUCCUUAGAUGCCGAGAUGUAAAGUCAAACAGUGAAGCUUACUGAAUUCAUUCUUUGGUGUUGACUGAGAUUUGAAAUAUUAUUAAAAGUUUGACAUGUUAUUUGUAUGUGCAGUUUCUCUACAGUAUGAAGUUUCUGAGGAUAAAGUAUGAAAAAACGGGUAAAGGCCUUGCUAUAUUCUUUGUAUUUUUGGAGUAUUAAUUCUCUCAUGCUAAUGCAGUGACAAAUUACAGCUAAACACCUGGCUAUAUUUUGCACAUUUAUAGAGAUUCUCCCAAGUGUGAAUAUUCUGACAUUCAGCAAAUACUGAAUGAUGAAUGAAAUCUUCAUAAUACAUUUUACCAGUACCAAUACUUUUGUGUUAAUCUAUGAAGAACAUUUAAAAGCCUUGUCAAUUUGUUCACAUUUGUAGUGUUUCUCCCCAGAAUAAAUUUUAAGGUUAGAAAGUGUUGAUUAGUAAAGCACUUGUCACAUUCUUCACAAAGGUUUGGUUUCUUUUUAGUAUGGAUCCAAUUGUGUUGGAUAAGAUCUGAAUAACCAAAAGUACAAUCCUCAUACUUGUAGGGUCUCUCCUGAGAAUGACCUCUGUGAUAUUCUUUAAGGAUUGAAAAAGAGUAAAGAAUUUUCCAGCAUUUCCUCUUCUAUAGUGUUUCUGAACAGAAAGAACUACCUCGUGGUGAGUAAGGUUAAAAAGUUUAGUAGCUUUCCUACAUUUGUGGUCUUUCUUACCAGUAUGGUUCUUUUGAUGUUUAGAAAGUCCUAAGUGAGUACAAAAGACCUUGCUACAGUCCACACGUGAGAAUGGUUUCCCUCCAAAGGCUUAAGGUUUGGAGGAUAGAAAACAUUUUGCCAUUCUUCACAUUGUUAAGAAUUCUGUUCAGGAAUCUGUUCUGAGGUAAGGAUGGAUGAGUUAAAAAGCAUUUCCAUAUCCUUCCCACUUGUACGGUUUUAUCCGGAAUGAAUACUUAGGUGGGUAGCAAGUUCUAAGUGAGCACUAAAGACUUUGCCACACACUUCACACUUGUAGGGAUUCUCUUGAGAAUGAAUCCUUUGAUGCUCCUUAAGUCGAGAAGAAUAGUAAAACAUUUUGCCACACUCUUCACACUUGUAGGGAUUCUCUUGAGAAUGAAUCCUUUGAUGCUCCUUAAGGCGAGAAGGAUAGUAAAACUUUUUGCCACACUCUUCACACUUGUAGGGCUUCUCUCCAGAGUGGACUACUUUGUGCUGAGUAAGAUAUGAAUGAGUAGAAAAGACUUUUCCGCAUUCUUCACACUUGUGGGGUUUCUCUCCAGUAUGGAUUCUUUGGUGUCUGGAACGUCCUGAGCGAGUACAAAAGUCCUUGCCACAUUCUUCACACCUGUACGGUUUCUUUCCAGAAUGAAUUGCUAGGUGUUCCUUAAGGAUUGAAGGGUAGUAAAAGGUUUUGCCACAUUCCUCACAUUUGUAAGGUUUCUCCCCAGUGUGACCUAAUUUGUGCUGGGUAAAGUAUGAGUGAGUAUAAAAGGCUUUGCCACAUAUUUCACACUUGUAGGGAUUCUCUUGAGAAUGAAUCCUUUGAUGCUCCUUAAGUCGAGAAGGAUAAUAAAAUUUUUUGCCACACUCUUCACACUUGUAGGGUUUAUGUCCAGUGUGAACUAUCUUGUGAUGAGAAAGGUAUGAAUGGGUACUGAAGGCCUUUCCACAUUGCUCACACUUGUACGGUUUCUCUCCAGUAUGGAUUCUCUGGUGUCUGGAACGUCCUGAGCGAGUACAAAAGUCCUUGCCACAUUCA